UACGAAGGGAGCUAGCGUUGUUCGGAAUCACUGGGCGUAAAGCGCACGUAGGCGGAUGUGUCAGUCAGGGGUGAAAUCCCGGAGCUCAACUUCGGAACUGCCUUUGAUACAGCACGUCUUGAGUCCGAUAGAGGUGGGUGGAAUUCCUAGUGUAGAGGUGAAAUUCGUAGAUAUUGGGAGGAACACCGGCGGCGAAGGCGGCGACCUGGUUCGAUACUGACGCUGAGGCGCGAAAGCGUGGGGAGCAAACAGG
rnacentral:rRNA from 1 species